rnacentral:lncRNA from 1 species
GAGGCGAAGGGGCUGUUGGAUCCGGCCAAGGCCAAGUGGUUGAAGAGAAGACGUCCACUUCCAAAGGGGCAGAGGAAGAAGAAGCAGUAGCUAGUAAGAAGGAAGCGGUACAGGAUGAAGCUGAAAAAGACGUAGUAAUACCGCCGGGUAAGGAAGCUGGAAGUGAAGUAGUAGCUUUACCUGGUAAGGAUGAAGCUGGAAACGAAGAAGUAGGAGUACCACCUGGUCAGGACGAAGAAGCAGGAGCUGCUCACGACAAGGAUAUAGUGCCACCUGGUAAGGAUGAAAGAAAAGAGGAAGUAGUACCACCUGGUAAGAAUGAAGCUGAAAACGAUGAAGCUACGGCUGAAGGUGAAAACGAAGCAGCAGUAGCAGUACCACAUGGUAAAAUUGAAGCUGCUGAAGCUGGAAACGAAGCAAUAGCAGUACCUCAUGGUAAGAAUGAAGUUGAAAACGAUGAAGCUGCGGCUGAAGCUGGAAACGAAGCAGAACCUGGUAAGGAUGAAAACAGCGAGAGCAUCGAACCUGUAGGCGAGACUGGUGGAGACACCGAUAUCCUUCAGAAGGUACGAUUGAUUUACGAUAUCUUUGUACUCGUGAUAUAUCUAUUGCGCAGGUUGAAAACAACGUCGACACGAAUGAGACGGGAGCAUCGAAACCUCGAAGUACGGCGGAGG